AAUCCUGGCUCAGAACGAACGCUGGCGGCAGGCUUAACACAUGCAAGUUGAACGGGAUUGUUAAGUAGCUUGCUAUUUAACAAGAGAGUAGCGCACUGGUGAGUAACACGUGGGAACGUACCUUUUGGUGGGGGACAACAUCUGGAAACGGAUGCUAAUACCGCAUAAGACCUGAGGGUGAAAGAUUUAUCGCCGAAAGAACGGCCCGCGGAAGAUUAGGCAGUUGGUGGGGUGAAGGCCUACCAAACCUACGAUCUAUAG
rnacentral:rRNA from 1 species